rnacentral:rRNA from 1 species
GUUAUAGGGUCAAGCGAACAAGUGCAUGUGGUGGAUGCCUUGGCGAUCACAGGCGAUGAAGGACGCGGUAGCCUGCGAAAAGCUACGGGGAGCUGGCAAACGAGCUUUGAUCCGUAGAUGUCCGAAUGGGGAAACCCGGCCCUUUUGGGUCAUCCUAGACUGAAUACAUAGGUCUAGUGAGGCGAACGCGGUGAACUGAAACAUCUAAGUAACCGCAGGAAAAGAAAUCAACCGAGAUUCCCAAAGUAGUGGCGAGCGAAAUGGGAAGAGCCUGUACUCUUUAUUUGUAUUGUUAGCCGAACGCUCUGGAAAGUGCGGCCAUAGCAGGUGAUAGCCCUGUAGGCGAAAACAGUAUGAAAGAACUAGGUGUACGACAAGUAGGGCGGGACACGUGAAAUCCUGUCUGAAGAUGGGGGGACCAUCCUCCAAGGCUAAAUACUCGUGAUCGACCGAUAGUGAACCAGUACCGUGAGGGAAAGGCGAAAAGAACCCCGGGAGGGGAGUGAAAUAGAUCCUGAAACCGCAUGCAUACAAACAGUCGGAGCCUCUUCGGGGGUGACGGCGUACCUUUUGUAUAAUGGGUCAGCGACUUACGUUCAGUAGCAAGCUUAACCGAAUAGGGCAGGCGUAGCGAAAGCGAGUCCGAAUAGGGCGUUCAGUUGCUGGGCGUAGACCCGAAACCAGGUGAUCUAUCCAUGGCCAGGAUGAAGGUGCGGUAACACGUACUGGAGGUCCGAACCCACUAACGUUGAAAAGUUAGGGGAUGAGCUGUGGAUAGGGGUGAAAGGCUAAACAAACCUGGAAAUAGCUGGUUCUCUCCGAAAACUAUUUAGGUAGUGCCUCGUGUCUCACCUUCGGGGGUAGAGCACUGUCAUGGUUGGGGGGUCUAUUGCAGAUUACCCCGCCAUAGCAAACUCCGAAUACCGAAGAGUGCAAUCACGGGAGACAGACAUCGGGUGCUAACGUCCGGUGUCAAGAGGGAAACAACCCAGACCGCCAGCUAAGGUCCCCAAAUAUGGCUAAGUGGGAAACGAAGUGGGAAGGCUAAAACAGUCAGGAGGUUGGCUUAGAAGCAGCCACCCUUUAAAGAAAGCGUAAUAGCUCACUGAUCGAGUCGUCCUGCGCGGAAGAUGUAACGGGGCUAAGCCAUAUACCGAAGCUGCGGAUGCGAGCUAGUCUCGCAUGGUAGGAGAGCGUUCCGUAAGCCUGCGAAGGUGCGUUGAAAAGCGUGCUGGAGGUAUCGGAAGUGCGAAUGCUGACAUGAGUAGCGAUAAAGGGGGUGAAAGGCCCCCUCGCCGUAAGCCCAAGGUUUCCUACGCAACGUUCAUCGGCGUAGGGUGAGUCGGCCCCUAAGGCGAGGCAGAAAUGCGUAGCUGAUGGGAAGCAGG